rnacentral:lncRNA from 1 species
UGCAAUGAAAAAUAAAAUUUGGACAGUGGAAACUUGAUCAAAGUCGGAGCCAAAGUGAAUAAACAAAGCCAUACCUAGAGACUAAAAGAGAGACCACCUGCGUCUAAUAAACGAGUCAAGUGAGAGAUCUUAUAUGUACAUUUAGAGAAUUUCAAAACUACUAACAAAAAACAAUUAGCAAAAUGAUGUCACACUUUUGAUGAACUAUAGUUUAUGAAAUGAAAGUUUUAAACGUUGUUGCUCUCCCCGUUUCAGAAGAGGGGAACUAGACGAGUUUCAAUGAAUCAUGCACAAGGGUUUGUCUUACGGUCCCUUUCUCGUUGCUGCUCGGAAAACUAUAUCACAUCCACGCGCACAAAACUGCCCAGAUCAGAGCCUUCAAGGCUACGGUUGAAUUUCCCGCUACUACCCUGAUGGUGCUGUUGCUGCAAAGCUUCAGAAUUUGAUCCAUUGCACCUAAAAGAAAUGAAGUUGUAUGCUCUGUUAAUAAUGCAGAUAAGAGUAGGAAGUGCCUACUGCAGAAGAUCACUAAAUUUAAACAGAACUUGGCUUAAGAUUUUAAAUAUAUGAACUUCCAACAGAUAAGAAUGAAGGGACUUUCCACACAUGCCAUAUCUACAAAUGUAAUGAACAAGUAUAGGAUAACUGUGUAGACGAUAUGGGUGUAUACAGCAAGCGUUUCAAAUAACGAUGAAGCAGAAGUGAAUGCAGGCAAGAAUUCUACUCAUAAAUUAAACUGAAUACACCUCUUCUGUCAUUAGAAAGUUUCUACUGAAACAACACAUGUAGUCUACAUUAUGACCAAGAAACAAUUUGUCCCACAACAAGAACACAGACAUCCAUGAUAACAUGUUUUAGCUCUAUUCAUCAUGUGCUGAUGAACAUAUGUAUGCACCAUCUUUAUGCAAAUUCAGAAUCUUAAAUCUUGAGUUCGAGGAAAGGAGCAAAUAUCAAACCUUUAUGGUAUGUAAUGCAUGCAGGAAACCAUUGAAAGCCAAGGGCAACAUGAAUGAUCAACAUACCAAUUACAAAAGAUCUUGUCCAUGGCUUAAGAAACGAUCCUCAAAGCUUUCGCCAAACCUUACACACCACAUUAACAACACACAUCAAUUCUUCCCCAUGCUCCUCUAUGGAGUGUUCUCUAAAAAUCACACCUUCACUAGGGAAAAGGGAUAACUGCAUAUUGAAUAGUGAUAGCACGAGCGUUGCAAGACAUAAAACAAUACACAACUACUGAUUAUUUAGAACACUAUAGCACGAGCGUUACAAGACACAAAACAAUGC